rnacentral:tRNA from 1 species
UCCUUGGUGGCUCAGACGGUAAAGCAUCUGCUUGCAGUGCAGGAGACCUGGGUUCGAUCCCUGGUUUGGGAA